rnacentral:lncRNA from 1 species
UUUUCAUGUUGUUUCUCUCAGUGAAAGGAUCAAAGCAGUGAGGCUACUUUUUCCCCACUCAAUCAGACAGGAGUUCUUUGAAGCAAAUGUGGUUUUUUGCUUUUGCUUUUUUUCUUUUGCUCCUUAAGGAAGAAUCUCUAUAAUCAGAGGCUGACUUUGUAAAUUUCCUGACACUAGUCCCUUAGCAGGUGCGUGUAUGUCAUAGGAAGCAGAGCCUGUGCUGUCUUUUUCUUGGAUUUCCCCUUCUUGUCUUCCACUUGAUGAGAUCCACUGGGUUAUUUUAAUGUGCCCAGGAUGGUUGAGAACAUCUAAAGACAACAUCAUCCAUUCAUCAAAAACAUAUAAAGACAAAGACACAAGAGUUCAGCUGAACAGAAAAAUAAAUCAGGGACUUUUGAAAAGGCAUUUGUAGUUACAGCUUAAGGCUGUCUUGUAAAAAAAAAAAAGUAUCAAAAUAACUCCAUUAAUGAUCAUCUCAGAAGCAAAAUGAAGCUGAAAGCUUGUUACUAUGGUUCUUGCUUCCAGGGGGAAUUCAGAAUAUCUUAUAAAAAAUAAUGGGAUGGUGAAUAAAAAAAAAAAAAGAUGCUGAAGUCAAGUUGAACAUGAGUUCUUUGGGAGCCUUCCAGUGGCAUGUAAUGUAUAAAACCAGAGAUUCACCAAGAAUGGGUAUCUUCUCAUGGGUGAUGAAUGAUUAAUAAUAGUAGCUAAUGCAAAUUGAGCACUUACUAUGUUCCGGCAGUUGUACCAAACACUUUAAUUUCUUUUAAGCUUCAAACCAGCCCUAUCAAAGCCAGUGUCCGUGUUAGUCCUAGUUCCUUGACAAGCCUCCCACCUGAGGUUUAAAAGACCCAAGAUCAACACAGAUUGAAAGUGGCUGAGCUGGAACCCAACCCCAGGUCUGUCUGAUGCCAAAGCCCAGGCUCUGGUUUAUCAUAAGUGGUACAUGCGCUUUAUCAGCAACCUGUUACUUAUAGUCACAUUCUUGCUGCUCAAAGGCUGAAGUCAUGUCUGUCUGGGUUAAACACACUGAGGCAAUAAUCAAAUUGAUUUGAACAAAAUUCCUUUCUCGCUAUUAAUUAACUCAAGGAAAGAAAUUGUUUUACAGAUGUUUCCAGACAUUUCUCUCCACACUGCCCUUUGUAGAGUGGUAGUAUGGACCUACUUCCCUGUACAUUUUCCACAUCAAAGAUGCAAUAGGAUUAUCGAAACCCAUCAAACUACAUUUAAAAUGCCAGCAUUUUAUCAUAUGUAAGUUAUACCUCAGAACAAGUUGUUUCAAAAAGAAAGAUCCCAGAACAUUCAAUGGGACAUGCUGUCAAUAUGUUUUCGGAUAUGUCCUCAAUUUUACAUCAAAUUAUUCUUAAGUUAGAUGCUGCGACAUUGCCCCUUGUGCAUGUUAGUUCCCUAUAGAUCAACUUUUAAAAGCUUUAAAAUAAAACAUGCUUGUGCCAUAUAAUCUUCAAUGAUUUUCACCUUCGUUCUAGGAUACAUUUUAACCUAGAGGGAAGAUUUUCUGUACCAGUAAGUGCACUAGGUGAAUGGGACUUCUUUCACUGUCUUCCUUCUUUGCCUUCCUUCUAGCUUCCCCUCCUCCUGCCCCAACACUCAGCUGGACUACAUCUCCCAGUCUCCCCUGCAGGUAGGUCAUAGCCCUGUGACUGAGUUCUGCCCAAUAAGAUAUGAGCAGAAGUGAUGUGUGUCAAAACCUCCUCAAGUCUCUGCUCCACUCUUUUUCCCAUCUACUGUCUGCAAGUGACGAAUUCUGAAACCUUUGAGGCACAAGACACAGAAACCUGGGUCUCUAAAUCGGAGUGUAAGAGAUCACCUUCCCAUCCAGCACCUUUAGAGGAGCAAGGACUCACUUCUGUGGUGUUAAGCCAGUGCAACAUGGGGAUUUUAUAUUACAACUAGCGCUAGUGUACCUGUAGGCUUUCUUUCUUUGCCUUUUUUUCUUUCUUUCAAUAAUAUCUGCUGUAGGAUUGUCUACAUCCCUUAGAGACCAGCUCAAUGUACCAAAAUUAAAAGACUCUUCAGAGAAAUGCUAUAGAACUUUGAAAAAUGGGAAUAUUCAGAAAAGAAACUUCCCAUUUAUAAAGGCUGUUAUCUGACUCAUCAUUCAUUCACCCUUUUGUUGGAAAUGGUCUUCCCACAUUUCUUUGUGAAACCACCCUCCUCUGAGCCCAGCCAUGUGAUUUAUUUUUUAAAAUUAUUUUCUUAUUAUUUUUCAAAUGUUAAAUUCAACUAAUUAACAUAUAGUGUAUUAUUAGUUUCAGAGAUAGAGCUCAGUGAUUCAUCAGUUGCAUACAACCCCCAGUGCUCAUUACUUCCCAUGUCCUC